rnacentral:rRNA from 1 species
UGCGGGAAGUAGACCAACAGGGAUUGCCUCAGUAACGGCGAGUGAAGCGGCAAAAGCUCAAAUUUUAAAGCUGGCACCUUCGGUGUCCGCGUUGUAAUUUUGUGAGGCAUCUCCGGGUAGGGCGCCGGCCUAAGUUCCUUGGAACAGGACGUCAUAGAGGGUGAGAAUCCCGUGCUUGGCUGGCUGUCCCUGUCCAUGUGAGGUGUCUUCGACGAGUCGAGUUGUUUGGGAAUGCAGCUCAAAAUGGGUGGUAAAUUUCAUCUAAAGCUAAAUAUUGGUGGGAGACCGAUAGCGCACAAGUAGAGUGAUCGAAAGAUGAAAAGCACUUUGAAAAUAGAGUUAAAAAGUACGUGAAAUUGUUGAAAGGGAAGCGCUUGAGACCAGACUUCGGUGGGGAGUGAUCAGCUGUCCUUCUGGGCGGUGCACUUGCUCCCCUCCGGGCCAGCAUCGGUUGGGACGGCGGGAUAAAGGUCCCGGGAAUGUGGCUCCUCUCGGGGAGUGUUAUAGCCCGGGUGAAUGCCGCCAGCCCCGACCGAGGACCGCGCCUUCGGGCUAGGAUGCUUGGCAUAAUGGUCUUCAGCGACCCGUCUUGAAACACGGACCAAGGAGUCUAACAUCUAUGCGAGUGUUUGGGUGUCAAACCCUUACGCGAAAUGAAAGUGAACGGAGGUGGGAACCCGCAAGGGUGCACCAUCGACCGGUCCCGAAGUCUUCUGAAGGAUCUGAGUAGGAGCAUAGCUGUUGGGACCCGAAAGAUGGUGAACUAUGCCUGAAUAGGGUGAAGCCAGAGGAAACUCUGGUGGAGGCUCGCAGCGGUUCUGACGUGCAAAUCGAUCGUCAAAUUUGGGUAUAGGGGCGAAAGACUAAUCGAACCAUGCUCGUUGCU